AUGAUGGUCACUGCUCAGCUCCUGGGGCUCUUACUGCUCUGGAUCCCUGUAACCAGUGGGGAUAUUGUGCUGACCCAGACUCCGUUCAGCGUGUCCAUCAUGCUUGGACAGCCAGCAACCAUCAGCUGCAAGUCAAGUCAGAGCCUUGUAGAUAGUGAUGGAAAGACCUAUUUGUACUGGUUGCAGCAGAAGCCAGGCCAAGCUCCGCGUCGUCUGAUCUAUCAAGUUUCUAACCGGGACACUGGGGUCCCAGACAGGUUCAUUGGCAGCGGGGCAGUUACAGAUUUCACUCUGAAAAUCAGUAGAGUGGAGGCUGAGGAUAUUGCAGUUUAUUACUGUGCACAAGCUACAGGAUUACCUCCCACGCAACAAGUGGGAAUAUUGUGA